AUUGAACGCUGGCGGCAUGCUUUACAUAUGCAAGUCGAACGGUAACAGGCCUUCGGGUGCUGACGAGUGGCGAACGGGUGAGUAAUGCAUCGGAACGUGCCCAGAGGUGGGGGAUAACGCAGCGAAAGCUGUGCUAAUACCGCAUGUGAUCUGAGGAUGAAAGCGGGGGACCAAGCAGCAAUGUUUGGCCUCGCGCCUCUGGAGCGGCCGAUGUCAGAUUAGGUAGUUGGUGGGGUAAAGGCCUACUAAGCCGACGAUCUGUAGCUGGUCUGAGAGGACGACCAGCCACACUGGGACUGAGACACGGCCCAGACUCCUACGGGAGGCAGCAGUGGGGAAUUUUGGACAAUGGGCGCAAGCCUGAUCCAGCAAUGCCGCGUGCGGGAAGAAGGCCUUCGGGUUGUAAACCGCUUUUGUACGGAACGAAAAGGCUCUGGCUAAUACCUGGGGCUGAUGACGGUACCGGAAGAAUAAGCACCGGCUAACUACGUG
rnacentral:rRNA from 1 species